GGGGGAUAAUCGUCGGAAACGGCGUCUAAUACCCCGUAUGAAGCUGGACGGCAUCGUCUGGUUUUGAAAGAAUAUCGGAGACGGAUGGGCAUGCGGCGCAUUAGCUAGUUGGCGGGGUAACGGCCCACCAAGGCGACGAUGCGUAGGGGUUCUGAGAGGAAGGUCCCCCACACUGGUACUGAGACACGGACCAGACUCCUACGGGAGGCAGCAGUGAGGAAUAUUGGUCAAUGGGCGAGAGCCUGAACCAGCCAAGUCGCGUGAGGGAGUACUGCCCUAUGGGUUGUAAACCUCUUUUGUCGGGGAGCAAAAGCCGGACGUGUCCGUCUGUGAGAGUACCCGAAGAAAAAGCAUCGGCUAACUCCGUGCCAGCAGCCGCGGUAAUACGGAGGAUGCGAGCGUUAUCCGGAUUUAUUGGGUUUAAAGGGUGCGCAGGCGGAUUUUUAAGUCAGCGGUCAAAUCGUGGGGCUCAACCCCAUCCAGCCGUUGAAACUGGGGAUCUAGAGUGUGCGAGAGGUAUGCGGAAUGCGUGGUGUAGCGGUGAAAUGCAUAGAUAUCACGCAGAACCCCGAUUGCGAAGGCAGCAUACCGGUGCACAACUGACGCUCAGGCACGAAAGCGUGGGUAUCGAACAGGAUUAGAUACCCUGGUAGUCCACGCAGUAAAC
rnacentral:rRNA from 1 species